CGGACAGCGACACCGCCCAGUUUAGUCCCAUGACUCGCUGCAGAGAUUUUCACCUGACAAAGGAAUUGACCAAUCCCACCUGGUUCCAACAGACGCGUGACUGACGAACCUACAGUGCCAGAUAUGGAGGGGGGAUACGAUCAGAGAAGAGGAGGAUGAAGGCCAUGCCUCAGCAUGAGGAAGAAGGAUCCUGGUGGAAAUGUCUGACCUCAAACUGACCCUUUAAAAAUAUGGAGCCGCACGCCCUCGACCCAGAUAAAUCCGGAACCGCUGAGCGCGAAUCGGACCCUCUGCGCCUAAAGACUUUGAUUCCAGAGAUGUAACACAUUCGGGCAUCCAGCGCAGCAUCCGAUAGCGAUGCACUGGGACACCGAACUGGGCUACAACUCUGUGCUGCCGGGGGUGGAUUUUUUUCCUCCCCACCCUGUCUUCCUGCACGGAAAGCAGCGGCCUGGCGGCACCCACAUUGCAGGCGCCAUCUUCUGUGACUCCAAACCCACAGGUAUUCGGUUUUUACUUUUGGGGCUCCCAGGAACUCAUGGGAAGGGGGCGUAACCAGCACGCCCUCGGCCCAGAUAAAUCCGGAGCCGCUGAGCGCAAAUCGGACACUCUGCGCCUAAAGACUUUGAAUUCAGAGACUUCUUACAGCAAUGCACUGGGACUGUGAGCUGGGCUAUGUAAUUUCUGGCAGAAUUUUCCCUGGACUUUAUACAGAAAUCCAAAACCGUGCGGACGCAAUAGCGUCCGCGCGACUUAACAUUUAUAAUUAUCAGCAAUGUGAAACGGUUCCAUUUGAACAGGUCUGACUUGGGGGGGAAACUCCAAAUAAUAACAGUAAGUUUUUGUUGAAAUAUUGAAGGUUUUUAAUGUAGCAGCCACCUCUGGACUGUGAACUAAGCAAAAGCCCCACGCUGGCCGACGCGGCGUGGCAUACACCAUACUAUGAGGCGCAGGAAGGGGGAUGAGGGAGAAAAAGAAAAAAAAAAGGGAAAAGGAAAAAGGAAAAAAAAAGAGAGAGAGAGAGAGAGUUAUGUACUUGUAGCAGUGGGGCUACAUAUCUCUUCAUUUCCAGCAAUGAAAAACUAAUUAUCAAAUGUAGUAGGUCUGUCUCUCUUGGUUGGAAACUCCAACAACUAUAGUGAGUUUUGC